rnacentral:rRNA from 1 species
UACGUAGGGUGCAAGCGUUGUCCGGAAUUAUUGGGCGUAAAGAGCUCGUAGGCGGUUUGUCGCGUCGACUGUGAAACCCCGAGGCUUAACCUCGGGCCUGCAGUCGAUACGGGCAGACUAGAGUUCGGUAGGGGAGACUGGAAUUCCUGGUGUAGCGGUGAAAUGCGCAGAUAUCAGGAGGAACACCGGUGGCGAAGGCGGGUCUCUGGGCCGAUACUGACGCUGAGGAGCGAAAGCGUGGGGAGCAAACGGG